rnacentral:lncRNA from 1 species
ACAUUCUCCUUUAGCAACCAUGGAAACAGCAAGGUUGUAGUAGUCCAUGUACAUGGAGGCCUGCUACAGCACCCCAACACACGCAUUCAAAUCUAAAAUUCCCAUUGCUUUUAUCAGCUCCAGGAGACCUAACACAUCCUUCAAGCCUCCUUUGGAACCAACACACAGAUCAAGAUGCAGAACUCUCAGCUACCUCUCUAGUACCAUACCUGCCUGCAUAACAGCAUGCUUCCCACCAUGAAGAUAACGGACUCAAUCUCUGAAAGUGUCAACCAGCCCUAAUUAAAUGUUUUGCUUCAUAAGACUUUCUUUGGUCAUGUUGCCUCUUCCCAGCAAUAGAAAUCACAAUGAAGACACAUACAGAAGAUAUCUUCAAUUAAUGCUGUCAUGACUCCCACAAAAAUCUUAGUCUCCAUUUUGCAAAUCACUUUGACAUCUGCAACAGAUCUGCAACCCCAGACAGAUGCUGGUAGAUUGUCGAAAUGUCAAGCUUGUAGUCCCCUUUGCAUUGGUAAGUCAAGAGCUGAUAUUUUUCUAAGGGGAGUUAACGAAACUGUGAGUACAUGUUAUACAACCUUUAUAUGGAUUUUCUGUUACUUUCUACCAUAAUCAGAAAAUAGAAAAUUAACUCAUCUUUAUGUGGAGGAUGGGAAAUAUAAUACAUUUACAAAGGUAUGAGUGAUGGAGAAAACAAUACAUGUAGUUUGUGACAAACUUCAGUAUAAGAAUCAAGAUGGAGGGCAUUAGGAUUCUAAGGAACGUGUUACCUGCAACUACCAAGCACUGCAAAUGAUGGAGUUACAGAUCAGCAACAUUGGGUGAUCAUGUGGCCAGAAUCACCCACUUGGAAAUGGGUUCUGUCAUAUUCAGUGACUUAGACCCUGCAGUGAUCAGUCAUAGGACAGAGUGUCUUGGGUCCACACUAGUGUACUCUCAGUUGUAUUCCCUAAACAAGGAUAAGGAUUUGAGCACUGUUUGUAGACAAGUGAGCUCCACCUGUGAGUAGAUCGAAGAUGACUGAAUGUGAGUGCCUUUCAGUUCAACUUAGUGGUGGCCUUGAAGCUAAAAGUGACAAUCUUCCGGCUUGUCUUGAGGUCACCUGGUUAUCUGCUUGGGAUGAAUAUGUAACACCCAAAAUGAAUUCAAGACCACCCAGGACCUUCCCCCUUCGAAAAGGACUUUCCAAACUGAACUAGCAGGCAAAGUGCAGAGCCAGAUAAGGAAGCUGGCUGACUUAACAAAUGUAAAAACAUAGUUUUAGCGGUCAAAAUGAUUAAGCCUGCAGCUACCAAAACAAUAUUAGCUGUUCUCAGAGAAACAACCAUAACAAGAUUAGCAAUUCUCCUGCCCCCUCCACACUGAAUUCUGACAAAGGCAACAAACAACCCUGACCUUGUUUCGAGAAUUCCCCUGACGUUACUAGCUGUGACAUUAAUGUACUAUUACUUUGCUGACCAAAUCAUAAUAACCCCCAUCGGGGCAAGCAAAGUGAGUCACUAGGCCAAAGGGUUACUUAGUCAGUAUACAAAUCAACCAAUGCCUGAAAGGGUUACUUGCUACACCAAUGAGAACCCUGUUGCUCAAAUCUGCCCCUUACAAAGGUAUAAAAAAAUGUGUUCUUUCUUUGUUCUUGUUCUCUCCUCUGGCCUGCGUGCUGAAAGGGGAGUCCCCAACAUGUUGGAUCAAUAAAAAUCCUCAUGCAUUUUGCAACAA